UACAGAGACUGCAAGCGUUAUUCGGAUUCACUGGGCGUAAAGGGUGCGCAGGCGGUUGUGUGUGUCAGGUGUGAAAUCUCGGAGCUCAACUCCGAAACUGCGCCUGAAACUACAUGACUAGAGCAUUGGAGAGGGAAGCGGAAUUCACGGUGUAGCAGUGAAAUGCGUAGAUAUCGUGAGGAACACCAGAGGCGAAGGCGGCUUCCUGGACAAUUGCUGACGCUCAGGCACGAAAGCGUGGGGAGCAAAAGGGAUUAGAAACCCCCGUAGUCC
rnacentral:rRNA from 1 species